rnacentral:tRNA from 1 species
GUUUUAAUAAUUUAAUAAAAAUAUUGGUCUUGUAAACCAAAUUUAAGAAUAAUUCUUUUAAAACU